AUUCUUCCUCUGUAUAAUCAAUUCUAUAGCUGUUUUUUUUCCUGAUCCAUAUUUGCAUUCUACAUGUUAUUUUUGUGACUGACUUAUCAAGUCACUAAGCAGCAAGCGGAUGUGCUGUUUUUUAUUUUAGUCAAAGGGAACAAACUAAUGGUCUAAGAGAUUGCCUAAAUGGAUCCUAGAAUAGUAAAAGGGUUGUGCUAUCCACACACCCCAUUUUACCUCACACACCCCUUGAUAAUUUUUAUCCGUUGAUCUUCUUCAAUUCAUCUGAUCCGACGGUCGAAAAUUAAAAAGGUGUGAGAAGUAAAAUGGGGUGUGUGGAUAUCACACCCCUAGUAAAAAAUGCAUAAAAGUUUGAAAUAAAUUGAGAUCCAAUAUUAUAAGUUGAUUAUCAGUACCAUACAUAAAACAGAGGUGCUCUUCUUGAUUCAAAGGUGAACCAUUUCAUGAAAUUAUGAUAUUCUGAACAAUGAAUUUGUGUUUUCUGGUAAACAAGAAGCUAAAGCGUAAUCAAAGGAUUUGUCGACCUAUUGUGGAAGGAAACAGUGCUUUUUGUUUUCUGGAACCAUUUGGAGAGUGCAUGACCUGAGGAUCUCAGACCCAAGGUAAAAGGGGAUGGACAGAAGUCCCAGGCAGCAAUCUCUUAGUGAUGAUCGUCGGGAAAAUAUCAUGGUCAUUUUGAGUUCGGAUUCAACCAGCAUGUGAUCUGUGCAACAUAUCCAUAUAUGGAUCAAUGCUAUGGACAUGGACCUCAAAUUUCAGGGCAUCUUCCAUCAUUUAUCCUACCUCACUAAGUAAUGUAUGAAGCUAUUACAUUUGCAAUCAUAUUAAUUCCUUGAAAACAAUAUUUAUAUUUCUCUGUAAACUACAAAUUUUGGAAUAUACUAUAGUUUCCUUGUUGGUA